rnacentral:rRNA from 1 species
AUUGAACGCUGGCGGCAGGCCUAACACAUGCAAGUCGAACGAGUGGCGGACGGGUGAGUAAUGUCUGGGAAACUGCCUGAUGGAGGGGGCUAACUACUGGAAACGGUAGCUAAUACCGCAUACCAUCGGAUGUGCCCAGAUGGGAUUAGCUAGCAGGUGGGGUAACGGCUCACCUAGGCGACGAUCCCGAACUGGUAUGAGAGGAUGACCAGCCACACUGGGACUUAGACACGGUCCAGACUCCUACGGGAGGCAGCAGUGGGGAAUAUUGCACAAUGGGCGCGAGCCUGAUGCGGCCAUGCCGCGUGUAUGAAGAAGGCCUUCGAGUUGUAAAAUACUUUCAGCGGGGAGGCGUUACCCGCAGAAGAAGCGCCGGCUAACUCCGUGCCAGCAGCCGCGGUAAUUC